AUUGAACGCUGGCGGCAUGCUUUACACAUGCGAGUCGAACGGUAACAGGCCUUCGGGUGCUGACGAGUGGCGAACGGGUGAGUAAUGCAUCGGAACGUACCCAGAGGUGGGGGAUAACGCAGCGAAAGCUGUGCUAAUACUGCAUGUGAUCUGAGGAUGAAAGCGGGGGACCGAGCAGCAAUGUUUGGCCUCGCGCCUUUGGAGCGGCCGAUAUCGGAUUAGCUAGUUGGUGGGGUAAAGGCCUACCAAGGCGACGAUCCGUAGCUGGUCUGAGAGGACGACCAGCCACACUGGGACUGAGACACGGCCCAGACUCCUACGGGAGGCAGCAGUGGGGAAUUUUGGACAAUGGGCGCAAGCCUGAUCCAGCAAUGCCGCGUGCGGGAAGAAGGCCUUCGGGUUGUAAACCGCUUUUGGCAGGAACGAAACGGUGUCCGCUAAUACCGGGCGCUAAUGACGGUACCUGCAGAAUAAGCACCGGCUAACUACGUG
rnacentral:rRNA from 1 species